GUGUAACUUAGGUCACAUCGCGUGCAUGGGGUGUGCUGCAUGUAUGUUCCAGCCUAGAUCAGACUGGUGAUUGGAUUAGAUCACUACCUCUUCACACGAUCAAGAAAGGGACUCUUGUGUAUGCACACUAUACAUUUUUUCCUAGAUUGCUAUUUCUAAUUCCUAAUUUUCUUCUACUUACAGGCUUGUUUCUAAUAACUUUCCACCACAAUAACUUACAGGCAUUCAUGAACUAAUUUUCUCUUUACAGCCACAGAAUGCAUUAACACUUGCCCCUCUGUUUGUGCACUUAUUAUUGUGACAAAUGUGUGUCUUAUUUUCUAUUUUUAAUCUCUGCUUUCACAUCACAUGAAUAGACGGCACAAUAAAAAGAGUAAACUCUGAACACUGUUACUGACUAUUAAGGGUGUUGUGUGUGAGGAUGUGGACUGUUGUGUGAGAGGUUUGUACAGUGAAUGAGUUAGGCUUCUGAAAAAAGGUCAAACAAGUGUGACCCUCUGUCUCUUGCACAAUGUCAUAGGAUGGCAUCCUUACUGUAGCUACAGUACUACUUGAAAAGCAGUAGAUCUGUAAUGUAAAAAUUUUAAGUACCUCUGGUUUCAUUUCCAUCUGAGGCCGAAAGGUUUUGUGAAGAGAGGCCAGGUCACUUAAGUCUGAACCUGAUGUAGUUUCUUUUUAAUUUAAGAGCUUAAUUCUCUAUAUUUUUUUUGUAUAUGCUUAUUGAAGUUUGCUCCAGGUGUUUGACUUGCAAAACUAUUUUACUUCCCUGCUGUUCAGUAGUUAAACUAAAAACUAAAACCUUGAAUUAAGAUGAGUAGAUGGGUUGUUUAACCAGGUCUGUUACGCUUUGUCCAUUGGAAGCAGUCAUGAUGACAUGCAUUCAUAAGCAAUCUGUUUUCACCCCGUUUCUGGUCUUCGGCCCGUUUUUUAGUAAUGUGUCUAUGGCUUCUGUUUUUAAAUACACCUCUUUGAAGCAUAUGUUACUGCUGUUUAACCUGUUUGUGAGAACAGUUGUACUGCUAGGUCACAAAACUUACUGUAUCUAUGUGUUUGUGAUGUCACUUUGAAAGGUACAGUAGACCAAAUGACAUCUUGUACACAUAUCACUGAAUCUUUUUGAUCCCAAAAAUAUAUACAGCCACUUAGUUUCUAACAAAGGGGAGGGCAACCAUUUCGGCUCCUGGGCCACAUCCACAGUUUGAAAUUAAAUGGAGGGACACAUGUUUUGUAAUUUGUAAAUCAUUGAGUUAAAUGAUUUGUGGGUCAGAAAAGGUCAAUAAUUAUAAAAUUUUUACAGUAGUUCCAUUAUAAUGUCUAAAUAAUUUUGAUUCAGAUAUAUAAGAAGGGGAUUCGGCCCGCGGGCCUUAGUUUGCCCACCCAUGUUCGAACCUGAGGGAUGCUGUUCAUUUACAAAAUACCUCCUAUUGUGAAGUUAAAAAACAUAUCCUAACGUGUUAUUGCUUGAUUUAGUAUUGAUUGAUGCAAAAUAGAGAACAUGAAAAUCAAGUCUUUUAAGCUUUACAAUCCUCCCUAUGUUCUACUCCCAGUACAGAAUAUGUAGACCGAGCAGAAAAUGUUACCUUUUACUUUUGUUAGCUUGCACAAUUAUGACAUGCCGCGGGGAA
ensembl:lncRNA